AACCUGCUCGGGUGCCCUUCUCCAGUGUGGUAGCUUUGUUCUUUCCCUCUUUGCAAUAAAUCUUGCUGCUUCUCACUCUUUGGGUCCACACUGCCUUUAUGAGCUGUAACACUCACUUCGAAGGGCUGCAGCUUCACUCCUGAAGCCAGCGAGACCACGAACCCACCAGGAGGAACGAACAACUCCAGACGCGCCGCCUUAAGAGGUGUAACACUCACCGCGAAGGUCCGCAGCUUCACUCCUGAGUCGGCGAGACCACGAACCCACCAGAAGGAAGAAACCCUGAACACAUCCGAACACCAGAAGGAACAAACUCUGGACACGCCGCCUUUAAGAACUGUAACACUCACCGCAAGGGUCCGCGGCUUCAUUGUUGAAGUCAGUGAGACCAAGAACCCACCAAUUCCAGACACAAUAUCAAGUUUUAUAAUUAAUUGUUAACUUUUAUUUUUCACUAGCACAAUUUCGUUUCUAUAAACUGAACACUCAAGGUUUGACUGCCAUUUCAUAUCAUUUGCACAUUAGAAGAAGACAUUGGGACAUGCUGAGGCCAACCUCCAUUACCAAUAAAUCAGAGUUUCUAAUAAACUCUUAUAUUGUCCCUCUGAUUAUUACUUCUGUUCCAUUUGAAAAGGAAAACAUUUCAGUUUUUAAUUCUCUUUCUUAAGCCUACUUUUCAGAACACUACAGCUUCAGACUUGCUUCUUUUUACUCAUAGGUGAGAUAAAGGCAGUAUUACAUAAUAAUAGGUCAAGAGUGUUGCCUCUUAACUGAUUCAGAGAUAAGUUUGAAAUCCUGCUCUGCCAUUUAUUGCCCAGAUAAUAUUGCAUAAAUUAUUUAGCCUUGCCAUGCCUCAGUGUCCUCAUCUCUAAAUGAUGAUAAUACUUGCACUGUUGGUUUAUAAUCAUGAUUAAAUGAGAUAAUAAAUGCAAAGGCCUCAGCACAUUGCCUGGCAUAUAGCAAAUGCUAAACCCAUGGUAGUUAUAAUUUGGACAAUGAAUUGGCUGUCUUAGGAAAUUUGUGCCCUCACCUCUUGUAGCUUUCUUUUUCACUUGCUGGCUAUGUAAAGCAAGAGCCCUCUUCAUGAAUGGAAAGAAAAAAAAAUAAGAUGUUUUUCCAAAUAUGUAAAAGUUUAUCUCUGUUUUUGUUUUUAGUGUAAUUAGUGUGGGAUGUCAAUGUAUUUAAAAUUUAAGGAAAGAGAAACAUGAUAAUGUCUCAAGAUAGCAAUGAUUGGAAGUGAAAUAGACAGACAUGCAACAUAUUCUUCGCAACUAUGAAGUUAACAGGGAAGGAAGUAAACUAAUUAAUUAAUUAAUUGUAUAAACUGACUCUAGAAAUCAAUAAAACAGUAAUCUAUAAUAAUAUCCUCAGAAAGAUAAAAUAUUAAACUCAUAAUUUAAAAAUGUUAGUUUUUUACAAAAAGACAAUUCAGCAAAUCAGCAAAAGUGGUUGGAAAUUAUUGACAGAAAUUUUAAACAGACAAUAAAGGAGUGUUGACGUACAAAACGACACCAACAAAAAGACAAUUGAAAAGUCUGAAGGUAAAGUUAAGGAACUAUUUUAGAAAUUAGAAGGGAAAUAGAAAAAAAAAAAGUCAAGUCAGAAACCAAUUUCAGGAGUUUUAACCUCUAACAAACAAGAGUCCCAGAAAGUGAGCAGAAAAAAAAAAAAAAAAGGAGAAGACACUGUCAGAUAAAUGCUAAAAGAAAAUGUCCCAAGAGUGAAAAACUCUAGUUUCCAAAACAUCUCUAACAGUUAGGAACUUGGUUGAAUGGAAAUAGGUGAGGCCCACGUCAGUUAUUUCUAGUGUCUUUAUUUUCCAACUUUAAAGAUUCUGUUGUUAAUCUGACAUCUAUGGUCAUUUCUCAUGCCUUUUAUAGUAGGUUUUUAAUGGGUCUAAAAUAAAGUUUGUGUCUACUCUUUCUUGUUUAACUGGAAUUCUCUUAAUUAUCAUUUAAAAAAAAUCUGUAGCCUAGUAGUAGAAUGCUAGAUCCACAGUAAGAACUCAUUAUGUGCUUGCUGAAUAAAAGAACAAUUUUUUGAAUAAGCAAGAGUAACAGGGUCUGACCAGACAACAUACUGUGUCAACUUUUUCAGAGUUACUCGUUGCUAACUUAGGGAUUUGGGCAUAUUACUUCUUAUCUCUGAGACUUAGUCUCCUCAUCUGUGUAAUAAUGUUAAUAAUAAAUUACUGAGACAUUUUUGAAGAUAAAUGAGACAGUAUUCACAAAUUAUAUAUCAUAGCCCUGAAACCUGGCAAGUUAUUAAUAAAUGUUAUUAACCAUCCUCCUAUUCCGUCUUUUGGACCCACAGCAGAGCAUCACUAUGCACACGAACAAGACCUUCCUUGAGUUUCCAUGCAGUAAUUAAUUCAAGGCCUGCCUCUAAUUUAGUUAUUUUAAGUGCAAUCUUUUCCUGGGACCCCAAAGAAAUUUGGCAACAUAUAAGAUGUUGCCAAGUGGUAACUUUUAUUGAGAAAUAUAUUACGAAAUUCAUAUCAUAUAAGAUUGUUCAGUGAUAAAUUUCACCUAUUAAAUUAUUUUAAAAAUAACAGAUGCAUUCUCAAAUGUGUUCAAGUUCAACUUGAAUAUUUGAUCUCUUUCGAUAACCCAUUCUACGCUACAUGUUUAUUUCCUUGAAAAUAAGAAUUUAAAACAAACAAAUGAAAAACCCCUUUCUGUGCAUUCUUCCUCAGUCAGAAAAUAAUCGAGUUUCCUUUGGCUUCCAGUACGUUGUUUCAGCAAAUACUGAAUAUGAGGGGAGUUGUACAACUAUUUUUUAAAAGUAACUAGUUAGACUUUUAAUCAUUAUUAAAAUAAAAAC
rnacentral:lncRNA from 1 species